rnacentral:rRNA from 1 species
UAAGCCAUUGGCCUCACAAGUAAAGCCUGACUUAGGCACAGAGCCAAGGGCCGGUAAACCCCGUGCCAGCCACCGCGGUUAUACGAGGGGCCCAAAACAAUAUCCAACGGCGCAAAACGUGACUAGAAGUAGUUUAUUAAAAGGAAACACAACACACGGCAAAGCCGUAAAACACAGAUCCCAUGCUGAAUCACACCUAGAUUCCUCCAAACAAACUAAUUUGACCCCACGAAAUCUAAGGCACAAACUAGGAUUAGAUACCCUACUAUGCUUAGCAGUAAACCAAGGUAGUAACCCAGCCCACUGCCCGCCAGAAUAUUACAAGUGAAAAACUUAAAACUCAAAGGACUUGACGGUGUCCCAUGCCACACUAGAGGAGCCUGUCCUAUAAUCGAUAACCCACGCUCUACCCAACCUGUACUUGCACAAACCAGCCUAUAUACCGCCGCCUUCAGCCCACCUUUCAAAAGUAACAGCAGUGGGCCAAACAGCCAACCCGCUAAAACGUCAGGUCAAGGUGUAGCUAACGAACAGGGUGAGAUGGGCUACAUUUUCUAACCACAGACCACACCAACAGCAACAUGAAACAUUCGCCAAAAGGCGGAUUUAGCAGUAAGUGUGGGUAAGACUACCCAACUGAACCCUGCUCUGGGACACGUACACACCGCCCGUCACCCUCAUCAAACCAACACACCAGCACACCAACUAAAUAAAACCACAAAGCCCAAAAGAUGAGACAAGUCGUAACAUGGUAAGCGCACCGGAAGGUGAGCUUGGACACACAAGAAGUAGCUUACAACUUAAAGCACUCAGCCUACAAUUGAACCACGCUCACUAAUGAGCCUUCUUGAGCCCAACAAUUAGCCUGCCACCUACACCAACCUGCCACACCCAUCAACCAAACCAUUUAACCUGCUAAGUAUCCGUGACAGAACAGCACUACCAGCGC